rnacentral:misc_RNA from 1 species
UUUUUUUUAUACGAGAGCAAGUUGGAAUUCUAAUUUACAUUAGUCUAUAAAUGAGAUUUCAACUACAAGUUGGAAAAUUUUGGCCUCUCAACCGACUCACUAAAACCUUCCUCACCAAUCUCUACCACAAACACACCCACCACCACAAAACUGAACGACAAAAAGAGCUAUGCAGGGCACAUAUUGAUGCCCCUUCAUCACGGUUCAACAGCUAUCAAAAACCUAAUAUUAAGGGUGAUAUAAGAAGACAAAUAAUAAAAAAGGGAAAAGCAAAUGAAAGAAAAGAAAAUGAAAAAGAAAAAUUAAUGCUGAUGAUUGUUUUAC